AUGGCUGCCGCCGCCGGCGGGGCAGCCGGCCGCCCGUGGCGCGUGAUACCGCGCCCUGUCCUGGAGACCGUCCUCCACAACCACGCCCUCCACCCGCGCGUGCCGCAGCCGCUGCUCCUCCACGGCCCGCGCGGCGUCGGCAAGUCCACGCUCCUCCUCGACCGCCUCCUCCCCCAGUGGUCCGAGCCCCCGCACUACGCCGCCUUCGUCGACUUCCUCCACCCCGCCCACGCCCACGCCACCGCGGCGCCGUGGUCCCUCCUCGCCGACCCCACGGCCCCCUCCCUCCCCUCCCUCCGCCUCCAGCUCGAGUCCGCGCUCGAGGGACUCACCCGCGCCGCAGUGCUCAAAGGCGCCGUCGGCUCCAAGGACGUGCUCGCCGCGCUCUCCCGGUCCCACGGCCUCCACACCGCGCUCUCCCGCCUCGCGGGCCCCGGCCGGGGCACCAGCUCUGUCCCGGUGCUCUGGGCGAGGGCCGUGCUAGCCGCGACCUCCUCCGCGCGCGGCGAGGACCCCACGUUCCGCAUUGGCGAGGGAGAGGCGGCCAACUGCUCCAUGGAGGAGACCGCGUACAUGCAGGAGGCCAUGGCGGCGCUGCGCGUGGCCAAGGAACUUCUCCGGAUGCAGGAGGGGUGGAGGAAGGAGGCGUUGCGGGAGAUGAAUAGGACGGGCCGGUUCUCGCGCCCGCUCGUCAAUUCAGCCACGGACUGGCCGUGCCUCCUGCUGGACGUGCUGUCUGGCGCCGCUGAGGUGGAUUUCUUCCAGCCAAAGCUGGUGCUGAACAAUGUGGAUGUACUUAAGAGGGCGGCGUGUGAGGAUGACACUAUGGUGCCUGCAGCAAUGUACCAUGACAGCUUCAUCUGGAGGCUGAUCGCACUUGGUGCUAAUGAACAGUGUCUGCCUGUGUUUAUGUCGACCUCAGAUGGAUACUAUUCUUCUCAAGCAUUUGUUGAUUUCGGUUUUCCUAAUAUCUUCAUUUCUCGUGAGACAUUUGGUUGGACACAACAAGAAGCUAAACUGCAUAUGGUUUCUGAGUUCUUCAGUGAAAAGGAGUGGAAAGUUGUUGAUGAGAUUCUUGGGACAAACACACGACACCUAUCUGAGAUAUAUAUGCUGAAGCAAAAGGCCAGUCGCCCAGAGGUUUUGCAUGACACGAACAUUGAGGAAAUUGUUGACACAUACCUGGCACACUUGCAAGUAUCUAUUGUGAAUCCUGCUAUGGAUACAGCAUUGAGUAUGGUGCAGAAGUUCGCCUCUGAUGUUCGCGAGGGUAAAAUACCAGAAAACAGACUGUCUUUUGGUGCACCCUGGAGACAUCCACCCAGGACUGACAACCCUGAUACGUCAUAUAAGUGGGCAAAGAUUCAACUUAUGGAUUUUGUCCAAUCCUUUGUAAACGCUGAAUUUGGGUUGAACUACCUAGCAGAUGAUAGCCUGGAAAUAUUGGAUGAUCCUGCAGCAGUGGCUAUGAUGGAGGUCGGCCUACUUUAUCAACAGAGAGAACCAUCCUUUAUGCGACCAAUCACUCGUGGGAUUCAGCGCUGUCUUGCUAGAUGGCUUGUUCAGCAGAGAUUAGAGUUGAACCUUCAAGAAUCAAUAUCAUUCUUAUGGCAACGUGCAAUACGUGGGCGAAGCUACCGGCACUUGAUGAAAGAAGUCGGCUACAAGUAACAAGCUAUAUUAUGUCAAGAAAAUUCUCUUGUGUCUAGAAGUGAUUUGAAUGAAGCAGGAACCAUUUUCAAUUCUAUGGUGUGGAACUGACUUGUUAUUUUGAUGGAUUUACCCUCUAGUAUCCAUAAGAUUAUGUGAAGCACACAUAUGAUUUCACAACCACUGACAUGCGAAUGAUGGCUCAGAAAUUUUUCAUCAUGGUUGCCAGAGGUGGACGUCUUUUUUGUACUAUGCUAACAAGGAUAUCUAUUGUGGUAGCACUAUGGUUCUUUUUAGGUCUCUUAUUUAAGUAUUUAUACACCAUUUUGGAUGAGACGUUGCGAACAGAGAAUCUCGCUCAAGUAGCAACAUGAGUUGACACAAAACCACUUUUAUCGUUUACAUACUCUGGUAGUAGGCAAUAAGCUCUGAUUUUUUGGGUGGAUGUUUUUGUAAUUCAGCAUGAUCAGAUUAUAUACCAGUUCAUGCUCUGAUACACAUAAUAAUACUGUGACUCAUGGCUUGGUAAGACAGCCAUGCUCACUAUGUUCAUCUGUGACCAAUAUGAAUAGGCCUUGCAUUG